rnacentral:rRNA from 1 species
CUCUUUUUGUUAAUUAUUUAAGGUAUGAUCUGCCCACUGAUAUUAUUGAAGGGCCGCGGUAUUUUGACCGUGCAAAGGUAGCAUAAUCAUUAGUCUUUUAAUUGGGGACUGGAAUGAAUGAUUGGACGAGAGGUAAUCUGUUUCUUUAAAUAUUUAUUGAAUUUAUAUAUUAAGUAAAAAUGCUUAGAUUUUUUAAUGGGACGAGAAGACCCUAUAGAGUUUAAUUAAUAAUAUUGUUAGUUGGUUAUUUAUAUUGAUUUGUUAUUAAUUUGGUUGGGGUGAUUAGAAGAUAAUAUGAACUCUUUUGUUUUGAUUUAUAUUGAUUUAUUAUUUUGUGAUCCAUUUUUAUUGAUUGUUAGUAAAAAUUACCUUAGGGAUAACAGCGUAAUCCCUUUUGAGAGUCCUUAUCAAUAAAGGGGAUUGCGA